GACGAACGCUGGCGGCGUGCCUAACACAUGCAAGUCGAACGGGGUAAUUUCUUCGGAGAUUACUUAGUGGCGAACGGGUGAGUAACGCGUGAGAAACCUGCCUUUCAGUGGGGGACAACAGUUGGAAACGGCUGCUAAUACCGCAUGGUGUUUCGAGAGGGCAUCCUCUUGAAACCAAAGCUUUAUGUGCUGAAAGAUGGUCUCGCGUCUGAUUAGCUAGAUGGCGGGGUAACGGCCCACCAUGGCGACGAUCAGUAGCCGGUCUGAGAGGAUGAACGGCCACAUUGGGACUGAGAUACGGCCCAGACUCCUACGGGAGGCAGCAGUGGGGAAUAUUGGGCAAUGGGGGAAACCCUGACCCAGCAACGCCGCGUGAAGGAAGAAGGCCUUCGGGUUGUAAACUUCUUUUACCAGGGACGAAGAACGUGACGGUACCUGGAGAAAAAGCAACGGCUAACUACGUGCCAGCAGCCGCGGUAAGAC
rnacentral:rRNA from 1 species